rnacentral:tRNA from 1 species
GGGCCUUUAGCUCAGCGGUUAGAGCAGGGGACUCAUAAUCCCUUGGUCGUCGGUUCGAAUCCGACAGGGCCCACCA